rnacentral:rRNA from 1 species
UACGUAGGGUGCAAGCGUUGUCCGGAAUUAUUGGGCGUAAAGAGCUCGUAGGCGGUCUGUCGCGUCGGAUGUGAAAAUCCAGGGCUCAACCCUGGACCUGCAUUCGAUACGGGCAGACUAGAGUUCGGCAGGGGAGACUGGAAUUCCUGGUGUAGCGGUGAAAUGCGCAGAUAUCAGGAGGAACACCGAUGGCGAAGGCAGGUCUCUGGGCUGACACUGACGCUCAUGCACGAAAGCGUGGGGAGCAAACAGG